CAAAAUUCAAAAGUACGCUGUACGCUGCGCGUGAUGGCUCCGAAGGAAGGCCCUCCCAAAAUUUUAUUUACUGUUGUUGCUUAGCUGAAUUGAAUUGAAUUGAGUUCCCACCACACAGUUGUUUUGGCUGUAGUGGCUGUGGACGACAACGCUCAUGCAAAUGGCGGCCGCACCGGGUUACCGUACUCUGACGUUUCGGCCAGUGUGUAUUCACCUGAUUUAAGUGCAUAUGUGGUGUGUACGUGAAAGUGCCUUGCAAGGCCAAGUCGGGCCGUCGUUCCAACGAGUUGUAUAAUUCGCAGUCUGACACAUGCUAUUUAUUAAAUCUGGUCUGGUCUGGGUAGACACUACUGCAAAGAGCGGUUUAAGAUCCUGGGUUCGAUUCCCGGGAAGACCCCCGGAUUACUCGGGAGAACGAGAUUAAGGCUAGCUGCUGAGAUGUGGAGUUGAGGUCACAGUUGAUGAACCAGAUUCGCACGCUGGGUCGGUGGCGAUUGCCAAACCCUCCGACUCUUCGGAUGUUCGGGUGAAUGAUGAGGAGGGGUCCCUGAAGGCUGGAUCCGCCGCCUUGGACUUACAGUUCGUAUGGCGAAGACAGUGUGGUAGUGGUGGAUGGUGCUUUAAGGUGAUAAAUCGUAGAACUGACAAUGUGAUAAAGUGGCCCAGAAGCCUCCCACUCUG
rnacentral:lncRNA from 1 species